AUUGAACGCUGGCGGCGUGCUUAACACAUGCAAGUCGAUCGGUAACGCGGGGCAACCUGGCGACGAGAGGCGGACGGGUGAGUAACGCUUGGGAAUCUGCCUACUAAUGGGGGGACAACCCGGGGAAACUCGGGCUAAUACCGCAUACGCACUAUGGUGGAAAGCCGGGGACCGCAAGGCCUGGCGUUAGUAGAUGAGCCCAAGUCGGAUUAGCUAGUUGGUGGGGUAAUGGCCUACCAAGGCGACGAUCCGUAGCUGGUCUGAGAGGACGACCAGCCACACCGGAACUGAGACACGGUCCGGACUCCUACGGGAGGCAGCAGUGGGGAAUAUUGGACAAUGGGGGAAACCCUGAUCCAGCGACGCCGCGUGGGUGAAGAAGGCCUGCGGGUUGUAAAGCCCUUUCGGUGGGGAAGAAAAGUCACUGCCUAAUACGCGGUGGCCUUGACGUAACCCAAGAAAGAAGCACCGGCUAACUCUGUGCCAGCCGCCG
rnacentral:rRNA from 1 species